AAGUCGUAACAAGGUAACCGUAGGUGAACCUGCGGUUGGAUCAUUAACAAUUAUUAUUGAAUUCUCCCCCCCUUCACCGGGGCGGUAGGUUCUCUAACACUUGUGUGCACUGUUUAUUGUCUCUCGGCGUUCGAGGGUUGGGUGUCCAGGAGCUAAGCUCCUUGGCGCCCUUGGGCUUUUAACGGCCUUGACCUACCCCUGAGCGUCAACUUAAACUUGAUUUUAUUUAUACUAUAAGCCUUUAAUUUUAAAUUUAUAAUUUGAAAACAACUUUUAACAACGGAUCUCUAGGCUCUCA
rnacentral:misc_RNA from 1 species